rfam:Gossypium arboreum cultivar AKA8401 contig_52888_1, whole genome shotgun sequence.
AUUCCAUGAUGAGGGCACUUCCGUAGUAAUCCUUUGUACCUUUCCUAUGCCAUAUACAAGGACUCGUCAUCCAUUUGUUGGAAAGUAGUAAUUUCAUUCCACAACUU